rnacentral:rRNA from 1 species
GCAAGCCUGAUGCAGCCAUGCCGCGUGUGUGAAGAAGGCCUUCGGGUUGUAAAGCACUUUCAGCGGGGAGGAAGGCGGUGAGGUUAAUAACCUUGUCGAUUGACGUUACCCGCAGAAGAAGCACCGGCUAACUCCGUGCCAGCAGCCGCGGUAAUACGGAGGGUGCAAGCGUUAAUCGGAAUUACUGGGCGUAAAGCGCACGCAGGCGGUCUGUCAAGUCGGAUGUGAAAUCCCCGGGCUUAACCUGGGAACUGCAUUCGAAACUGGCAGGCUAGAGUCUUGUAGAGGGGGGUAGAAUUCCAGGUGUAGCGGUGAAAU